CAACCCUGGUAUUCUAUGAUUCUAUGCAUGUGGUGAGCAGACGCACCUACAAGGGAAUGAACAUGAGCAAACACUGGAAGAAGAACUAGUUCAUUUUUGUUUUUUUAAGACCAAGCCAGUAGAAAUAAUGUGACUCCACACCUCUUUGACAGGUUGUGACAGAGCUUCUCUAGUAGGAGGGUUCCCUUUUCUUUCUCCAUGUCCUGCAGGAUGUGGAAAAGUUUAUGCAGGUUCCCAGAUAAAGAUGCUGGAAGGAAAUCUAGGACAGCUGCCAUUCUGCCUAUCAAAUGCUGGAAGGUUCUGAUACCACUUGGGGGAUUUUCAAGAGAGCCUGUGGGCAUCUCAGAGGACUCUCUCACCUUUUUUUUUUAAUCCUUUUCAUUCUCUGUCUGAAUCUAUACCCAGGAGCAUCACUGGUCUGGGUGUCCCUGUUGUUGUCUCCUUUUAUAGAGGACUGUUUUCUGUGAAGAUGAUGACCAUAGGGCCAGAAAGCCCACGAGGUACAGUAGACACAGGCAUCAAUGGGGAGAUGAAGAGUACUGACUAGUAGCUGAAUCUUCAGAGAAUACCAGCAUGGAGGACCUGGUUAAACACACAGCUCGGUGGCACCUUACAUGCUAUAAGAAGUGCACCCAUAAAAUAAAUUUGGCAAGGUUGGAGAGAAAGUAAAUCAAGCACCAGGAAAAAGUUGAAGGCGCUGAGACAAGUGCCAGCUGUGGUAAGUUGGAAACCUGAAGGCAUCCAUUGAGCACAGUCUCAACACAAGAGAGAGGUAUUGUCUGAGAAAGGACCCGCUGAAUAGAGAUCACAGACUAUCAGAUCACUUUCAUCAAAACAGACAUGGUGGAGUUGCCUGUCAGCAUCCAGCCUGCUUUAACAAUAAAGGAAAGCCUUGGGCAUGAUCCUUUCAUAUCAGGUCUGCUUAAACUUUAACAGGGAAGAUCUAAGCCAUAGGAAUGAGGUCUCCAAGUAGCUACUUGGAUUGCCCUGAAAUUCUCACGGAAAAACUCUAACAGACUCUCUACACCUGAACUGCCUAUUGGACUAUAUAAGCCACUGAAUUGAUUCCAGACUUUUACAAAUCAGCAGCCUCACCAUCUCUGCUGUGAAACAGACUUAAGGACUUUACACUAAUUUGUACGUAUAUUGAUCUUUUAACCAUUUAUAACUUUUUUUUUCCUUUUUAUUGCUAAAUCUUACACACUUACAGCCAAUCCUUAAUAAGUAUCUGAAAUAUUCACUGACCUGGGGAGAAAUGUAUCGGAUCCUUUUGGAUUGUAAGAACUUGAUUUAUCGUGAAUAGGGUUUCUAAUAACCUCUCCCCAUGGAUGCUGAAAGGGCCCUUACACUUUUUUUGAAAUUGGACAAGCCUGGUCUGUCCACUUUUCGCCCCUCCGGCCAGGCUGGCAGUUGGAGCCCGGGCUCCAGCCAGAACCAAGUCAGGGUAAGAGUUGUGCAGGCCACUGUGGAAAGCCACAGACCCUCCUGUCCUGGGCGGGGGACCUGUGGAAGGGGGACACGGGCCAGGGCCUGCUUUCCUAUUCUCUCCCCCUCCCCCAGC